CCGACGGGGUAUUUUUUUAACCCAACGGCACAACAGGUCCUUUUUUUUUGAGAAGUUUAGAGGGGGGCUUAGCCGUGCGAGACAAUGAGGAUCUUCGAGUGUUGGUUCUGCGGCAGGCCAAUUUAUCCUGGACAUGGCAUCACAUUUGUCCGAAAUGACGCGAAGGUGCUGCGUUUUUGUAAAAGUAAAUGUAGAAAGGCUUAUAGUCACAGAAGGAAUCCAAGAAAUGUGAGAUGGACGAAAGCCUAUCGCCGCACACAUGGAAAAGAAAUGACAGUUGAUGCGACAUUGGAAUUUAUAAAGAAGAGAAAUAGACCUCUUAAAUACAACCGAAACAGAAUGCAAUUAGUUUUACAAAGCAUCAAGCGAAUACAUGCCGUUCGAGAGCGUCGAGAACGGGCAUUCUACGAGAAUCGCAUGAAGGGCAAAGCAGCCAAGGAAUUAGAAUUGGCAAGACGCGAGUUGGAAGAAAACGCCCAUAUGCUGCAAGGGCCGUCGAUAAUGCGUGUCGAAACACCAUCUGCUGUGCCUUUGAAUAAGGUAGAAAAAAUGGAGGUGUCCGAACCUGAAAAAAAUAGAUACCGGGCCCGAAAGAAUGAAUGUUGUAGAUGGAAGGGAGUUGAGAUCUAGCUUGAAAAGGGCAAGAAUGAUCAGGCGAAAGAUGUUGGCAUAAGGGAACCUGGUACAACAUUUUUUUACUGGAUAUAAUUUUUUAUUUUUCUAAAGUUUUUACCAUUAGUUUUGUAAACGCGCUGAAUUAAGUUGUAGAUCCAUAUGAAGUAAUAUAAUAAAUCAUCCACUUCUCCGGAGUAAAGACCGUGAUUUUUGGCGAGGAAGUAUUCUCGAUAGAAGUAGUAGAUGGCUUCGAUGGUGGCCAGGUGUUCUUGGCCUUCAUUUUGCCAUCUCCAAAACAUGGUACGAUAGCGGCUUAUUUUAACGUGCCGAAGUCGGGAGAGUCGUUCAUCUCGCACAAUGCGUUUCGCGUUAUGCCAUUGAGAAUCAACGACGACCAGGCGCUUCACUUCGGAAAAGUCCAGAUCAUGUGCACUGAUAGCAGAGGGUGAUAGAAAGAGCAAGAGGGUGCUUUGAGGGUCCCAACAUAUGGAAUCGAGUUGGUUAGGAAACUCUAAAAUUCUCACGGAUUCAGGGGCCAACAAUUUUGCGUGUACAGCCGUGCUUUUCGAUGUCGGUUCACUCGGGUGAUGAACGAUAUCGCAUUCGAUUGGAAGGACCAACUGAGGGACUUGAGGUGCCGUAGGGCCGAGAAUCUUGAAGCAGGAAAAGCAAUAAAACUUUCGGCUGGCAUGGCAAAUGUCGCAUACUUGGCGCCCAUUCCCCAGCGCUCG